rnacentral:rRNA from 1 species
CCUACGGGUGGCAGCAGUGGGGAAUAUUGCGCAAUGGGCGAAACCCUGACCCAGCAACGCCGCGUGAGUGAAGAAGUAUUUCGGUACGUAAACCUCUGUUAGCAGGGACGAAAAUGACGGUACCUGACUAAGAAGCCCCGGCUAACUACGUGCCAGCAGCCCCGGUAAUACGUAGGGGGAAAGCGCUAUCCGGAUUUACUGGGGGUAAAGGGGGCGUAGACGGGAGCGCACGUCUGGAGUGAAAUCCCAUGGCUUAACCAUGGAACUGCAUUUGAAACUGUGGAGCUAGAGUGCAGGAGAGGCAAGCGGAAUUCCUAGUGUAGCGGUGAAAUGCGUAGAUAUUAGGAGGAACACCAGUGGCGAAGGCGGCUUACUGGACUGUAACUGACGUUGAGGCUCGAAAGCGUGGGGAGCAAACAGGAUUAGAUACCCGAGUAGUC